UACACAGCUACAAGACUACGCCUUUAACUUAACAGUUACUGGGAUAAUCUGAUAAGUGGGUACAAGAUUUUGCUAGUAGAAGAAGCCAAGGACCUUCCCUCCCACAUUCUUUCUCCUUGCCUCUUCGUGGUCCAUGAUGCCAGCAGAGGUGGUGAGAACGAUGUAGCCGAACUGCAAAACACAAAUUAUAAGGUUCUUAGGAAACAUGGUUUGAAGGAUUUCAAGCUGCAUAGUUUAGUGAUGCUUGCACAAAAAGCUAUUAGUCACUUCCAAUGAACUAACCUGACGUGAGGGAAGCAGCCUUGCUGUCCAGGACUCAAUUUCCUUCACACCAACAUCAAAGCGAGGGCUGAUCACACCACAUUUGUUGAGCCUUCCAUUGAGUUCAACUACUAUCUUACCAGAACGAUGAUCAUCAACAAACUCAAAUUCACCAAUGUA
rnacentral:lncRNA from 1 species